rnacentral:rRNA from 1 species
AUACGGAGGGUGCAAGCGUUAAUCGGAAUUACUGGGCGUAAAGAGUACGUAGGUGGUUUAUUAAGUCAGAUGUGAAAGCCCCGGGCUUAACCUGGGAACUGCAUUUGAUACUGGCAAACUAGAGUAUGGUAGAGGCGGGUAGAAUUCCUAGUGUAGCGGUGAAAUGCGUAGAUAUUAGGAGGAAUACCAGUGGCGAAGGCGGCCCGCUGGACCAAUACUGACACUGAGGUACGAAAGCGUGGGUAGCGAACAGGAUUAGAAACCCGGGUAGUCC